GGACCAAGGAGUCCUUCGAGUCGACGAGUCGACGGCUCGCCAGACGAACGCCAAGGGCGUAGCGAAAGCAUCGCUUCGUUGUCGCGCGCAAGCGCUUCAGCGAACGCGAGGGGACGAUGGCGAAGUAUGCCUGCACGGCGUCGCCCGCAGUCCCGAGACGGUCUUCGUUUCGUAGAGAAGCCGUUCCCGGAGUCGGCGCGAAGGUACCCGAAAGGUGGUGACCUAUGCCUGGUCAGGGUCAAGUUAGGGGAAACCCUGAUGAAAGCUCGCUAACGCUUCUGACGUGCAAAUCGAUCGUCUAAGCCAGGUAUAGGGGCGAAAGACCAAUCGAACCACCUAGUAGCUGGUUCCUCCCGAAGUUUCCCUCAGGAUAGCUAGAGCGAGACGCGAACAAAGAGUUGCGCGUGGUAAAGCGAAUGAUUAGAGGCAUCGGGGCUGAAACGGCCUCGACCUAUUCUCAAACUUUAAAUAUGCGCGAACCGGCGGCUCCGAAAACGGAGCGCGUCCGGCAAAUCCGAGCGCUCUAAGUGGGCCGUCCAUGGUAAGCAUGGCCGGCGAUGCGGGAUGAACCGAACGUGGAGUUAGAGUGCCCAAAGCUAUGUUAAUGAGAUACCACGAAAGGCGUUAGUAACUAUGGACAGCAGGGCUGUGGUCAUGGAAGUAG
rnacentral:rRNA from 1 species